rnacentral:tRNA from 1 species
AUGUGGGUGGCUCAGUUGGUAGAGCAUGGGACUCUAGAUCUUGGGGUCAUGGGUUCAAGCCCCACAUU